AGUCUAACAUGUGUGCGAGUCAUUGGGCGCACUAAACCCAAAGGCGCAAUGAAAGUGAAAGGGGGGCGUCCAUGAGUCCUUGGGGCUUCGGUCGGCGCCCUCCGGGGCCGAUCCCUGACCGGCCGAUGCCGACGGGUUUCCCAUGCCAAAGCGAGGUCAUCCCAAAGGGGGUGCGCGGGGUGAGUCCCUAUCCCCCGUCGUCUACCUCUGGCCUCGUGGGUGCCCGGCGCGCUCGACGGUCCGAGCUCCAUUGGAGCUCGCUUGUACGCAGGGGGGCGCAGGCCCGGGACUUGCCAUUUGACGCCGUCGCGCGAAUCGGUUGUUGGCCUCAUCGGCUUUGCUUGGGCUCUCGGUUGGUGCGCCGCGUGUCUUUGGGCGGGCUUUGGGUGGGGGCCUCGGCUCCAACCCGGGUUCGUCCGGCGCGGUUUCGCCUUCCGAUCCUGCUCUGUCCGGAGUGGCCUAGCGCGCGUGCUGUCGGCAAGUACCAUGAGCAGACAUGUUGGGACCCGAAAGAUGGUGAACUAUGCCUGGCCAGGAUGAAGCCAGAGGAAACUCUGGUGGAGGUCCGUAGCAAUUCUGACGUGCAAAUCGAUUGUCAGAGCUGGGUAUAGGGGCGAAAGACUAAUCGAACCAUCUA
rnacentral:rRNA from 1 species